ACAACGCCCUGAUCUCUUUCUUACUGUCUGUCUCACAUCUCCUUUCAUUUUGAGACCAGCCAUUGUACUCCUUGGACCUGGCUCGAUGCUCUCUGGAGUUAAGAGCUUUACUCAGCAAUGUACUGUGUUAGAAUGGUGGAGAGCCAGUCUUUGGGCCUGAACCCAGAAGAGAAGCUUCACAGCUCAGGGAAUAACCAGCAUUUGAACUCGUGCAUGCAGGAGACAUUAGGAAACUGAAUCAGAACAAUGCAAGAGACAUCAGGAAACCGAAUCAGAACAGCAACAGCAAAAGAUAACAUUGUGGAGUCCUUGGUUCAGGUGGCAGCAGAGCCCAGCAUUUCGUACACCAAGAAACUGCAGCUAAAACAGAUACAUGAAUGAUUUGAACAAUGAAAAGAUGGGAACAGCAACAUCUCCAGGGAACAUGCUGCUGACAUAGUAGGAUACAAGACUCUAGGAAAGUCGAUUGUCAUCUUACCUGGUAGCAUUUGAUGUGAAUGUGAGUCUCUAAUACUGCCUGGUAAUGAUGGUAAUCUCUUUCCUCAUUGGCUACAGCUCUCGUAAGCACAUCUGCUAUGGCUUCUCCUCUAAAUUAUCUAUGAUACUAUUCAUUUACAACCCAUGUACAGGUAGUAGGUUGUAAAGUAAAGCAAUGACCUAUAUCCCAGUCUUAAUCUUCAGGUCUAAGAAUGUUUUUUCUUCUUUAUCCAAUGUCAGUUUUUGUCUUCUACAGCAGUGGGUGGGUCAUCUCUGAUUGCUCUUGUUUAUUUUUCCAUUAAUUAAAGUCCUCCUUCAGUUCUAUGAGGAAAAAUUGCUAUUUUUUUCUCUGCACAGGCUGGAUUUGGGACAUAUGACUAGCUCCUUCCUUUACAAUGUCCUGAGCCAUUCAGUACUUUCAGCUUUAUUAUUCUGCUCUGUAUUUAGCAAGUUAUAUUUGAGGAAGCAUCCUGGUUUCAGACUGUUUAAAUGGCAGCACACAAAAAGCCAGGCGAGAUUAUUUUGUUCUUUCAGAGCUAAUCAAGAACUAGCUAGGUGGCAAGAUGUCUCUGUGCAUUUCAUAUGGAGAUGUUGUUAUACAGUUUACUAGGAUGUUAGGAGUGUUACACUGAACAAGGAACAGUGCACUGACAAAAAGUAAGCAGGUAAUUCUAUUCUGCUAUGUUGUUUUAUAUGGAAACGUGCCUCGUCAUCCAUCAAACAACAUGACUGUCACAAGAUUAUCUCACCAAAUAACAGAUGUAAUAAGUGUGACAUUGUUAUAGAGAUGCAACAAAAUUAUUGAGCUUUGCCAAAUGCAGUCCUGUACUCUGCAGAGCAUGGUUUCUAAUUUGACAGCAGUUCAAAGCGAUGGAAAAAUUGUUUAUAAGGGGCUUCCACUUUUUUCUCUUUGAAGUGUCCACUUUUUUCUCUGAGAAGUGGUAAUCUUUGAAUUUGUUGCAAUAAUUUAAAGGGGUAAAUUUCUCGCAUAGGUGUUGUGAUGGACUCUAUAGCCCAGACAAAACAGUUUUCUCACAUUUCUCAUGCAUACAGUUAACUGUGUUAUAUAUUUGACAACUGUUUCAAUUUCUGCUUUUGAUAAAUUGUCUCUAAUUCACGUGCUCUUCUUGACAUAACUUACUAGAGUUUCUUUGUAAUUGUGUUACUCCAUUACUAUGUCACGCAUAAGUUUUACCACAAACACUGGUACACAACAUAAGUUUACCGAAGUCACAGUGAGCAUGUUGUAAAUAUUUUGAGUGUGUACCACAAAUCACAAGCCAGCAUUACUCCAUACAGUCCUAUAUAUAUAUAUCUCAGGAUGGGAAGAUUAACACAAUGGAUUAAAGCUAUGAGCUUCUCACAGCUUCAUUCUGUAGUCCAGGGUUGGAUUCCUUCAGCAUCGAUUUGCCUGCUGUCUGGCUCUGAGAAAAUCACUUAACUAACCAAUGGUCCUAGUUUUCCUCUAGAAAGAGACAGGUAGAUUCAGUCUACUUAACUAGCUAACACAGUCUGGAUGUUGAGAUUAAUCUAUGUAUCUGAUGUACUGCAUUUUUAAAAUGAUAAUCUCUGCUGUUUUAUAAAAUACUGGCAGCCCCAAAGAGCCUGGGAUAUCCUGCAUGUCUUCUAUUCCACUCUAAGGAGGAUGCUGACAAGUUCAUGUAAAUACUUUCUGGAGAGUCUAAGUGUAGAACUUCCAUGUCUAAAAUGUACAGCUUUUAAAUGAAAUACUGCUUUAAGCAAUGAAUGACUGCUGUCUCAUCUUAACCAAGAAAUUAAAAGAAGAGCAAAAGGUCUUCUGCUUUGGGACGAAGCAUAUUAAGUUAAAAAAUUGUAAAUUAAUUUCACCAAAUCUCUACAUAAGUCUGAUUUGGAAGAAGGCUAAUGGUGCUAAAACAGGUUUGGAAAUAAAAUGGAGGAACAGGGUAUACUUAUAAAUACCCAAAGAAUGGAUUAGAAGUUGUAAUUUCACAUUUAGCAUGAUUUUUAGAAACCAGUAAUCAUUUUAUCAGUUUAGACAAAUUGUUUCAAGAUUAAAAUGAGGGCAAAACAUCAUGGGGAUUGGAGUCCUGCAGAAUUUUGUGCAAGUCACACAUAUAAAGCCAUUUCAAGGUGAUCGAGUGUAUGUUUUUCAGCCUGUUUGACUGCAUUGUACCAGACUGUGUCAGAUGAAAUGUGACAUUUUCUAACACUGUCUGGUAACGAUGGUGUCAGAGAGGCACAUUCACCAUAAAUGUCAUCAAGUCGCUGACCGAUGGUGUCAGGGAGGUACAUUCAGCAUAAAUGUCAUCAAGUCGCUGACCGAUAGUGUCAGGGAGGUACAUUCAGCAUAAAUGUCAUCAAGUCGCUGACCGAUGGUGUCAGGAAGGUACAUUCACCAUAAAUGUCAUCAAGUCGCUGACCGAUGGUGUCAGGGAGGUACAAUCAGCAUAAAUGUCAUCAAGUCGCUGACCGAUGUUGUCAGGGAGGUACAUUCAGCAUAAAUGUCAUCAAGUCGCUGACCGAUGGUGUCAGGAAGGUACAUUCACCAUAAAUGUCAUCAAGUCGCUGACCGAUGGUGUCAGGAAGGUACAUUUUCCUUCAGCAGAAGUACAAGAUAGCCAAACAUAAAGUACUAUGCCUGCCCAUCUAAGCAGGAUGUACUUUUUUGAGCAGACUUUUUGAUGCACGUUGUGUUUUUAAAUCAUCCUUCUAACCUCUCCAUUCCUCAGGAGCUCAGUUUAUUUUUGAAACCCCAUAAGUUUAUUUAUUGCACUUCUGAUUGUUUAUGCUUUGUUCACAGUGUUACAUUAAUCUCUUGCUCUGAAAUUUAUUAUGUAAAGGAGUUUGGAAAAUGGACCUUGUUUAAAUAAAGUUGUAUUGCAAGUACAAAAAGAUUUGCUUUUCAAACAGUAUGUUUCAAAAUCUCAAAUAAAUAUGUAAUAAAAA